GAAAUCAAGGUGUGUAAAAAGUCCAUACUAAAGAUGGAAAAUGUACUGAAUUCACAAAUAGAAAGAAAAGAAAACUACAGAAAAUAACAAUGCUAUGACAGAAAAUGUAUUGAUUAAUAAAAACUGUCUUAUGUUAAACAUUGAAAGCUGGAUAGAAUAAAUUCAGAAAUAAAAGACUUGAACAAUCAAAUAGUCUACAAAAAAAGGAGAAAAGCCAAAUGAGGAUAAACUAUAUGUACCAGACAUGCCAGAUGUGAUGAAUAAACAAGUAAAUAGAGAUUUAAUUCAUAAAGAGAACAGAAAAAUGUACAAAAGAUCAGUACGAGAGAAGAAAGUAAAAACAUAAUAAAAGACGGGAUAAGACCAUUUAUGGUGCUACACAGC
rnacentral:lncRNA from 1 species